rnacentral:rRNA from 1 species
UUAAGCAUAUCAAUAAGCGGAGGAAAAGAAACCAACAGGGAUUGCCCUAGUAACGGCGAGUGAAGCGGCAACAGCUCAAAUUUGAAAUCUGGCUCUUUCAGAGUCCGAGUUGUAAUUUGCAGAGGGCGCUUUGGCGUUGGCAGCGGUCCAAGUUCUUUGGAACAGGACGUCACAGAGGGUGAGAAUCCCGUACGUGGUCGCUAGCCUUCGCCGUGUAAAGCCCCUUCGACGAGUCGAGUUGUUUGGGAAUGCAGCUCUAAAUGGGAGGUAAAUUUCUUCUAAAGCUAAAUACUGGCCAGAGACCGAUAGCGCACAAGUAGAGUGAUCGAAAGAUGAAAAGCACUUUGGAAAGAGAGUCAAAUAGCACGUGAAAUUGUUGAAAGGGAAGCGCUUGCAGCCAGACUUGCCUGUAGUUGCUUAUCCGGACUUUUGUCCGGUGCACUCUUCUAUAGGCAGGCCAGCAUCAGUUUGGGCGGUUGGAUAAAGGUCUCUGUCACGUACCUCCCUUCGGGGAGGCCUUAUAGGGGAGACGACAUGCAACCAGCCUGGACUGAGGUCCGCGCAUCUGCUAGGAUGCUGGCGUAAUGGCUGUAAGCGGCCCGUCUUGAAACACGGACCAAGGAGUCUAACAUCUAUGCGAGUGUUUGGGUGUCAAGCCCAGACGCGUAAUGAAAGUGAACGGAGGUGGGAACCCUUUGGGUGCACCAUCGACCGAUCCUGAUGUCUUCGGAUGGAUUUGAGUAAGAGCAUGGCUGUUGGGACCCGAAAGAUGGUGAACUAUGCUUGAAUAGGGUGAAGCCAGAGGAAACUCUGGUGGAGGCUCGCAGCGGUUCUGACGUGCAAAUCGAUCGUCAAAUUUGGGCAUAGGGCGAAAGACUAAUCGAG